rnacentral:rRNA from 1 species
UACGGGGGGAGCAAGCGUUGUUCGGAUUUACUGGGCGUAAAGGGCGCGUAGGCGGCCACUACAAGUCACUUGUGAAAUCUCCGGGCUUAACUCGGAACGGUCAAGUGAUACUGUAGGGCUAGAGUGCGGAAGGGGCAACUGGAAUUCUCGGUGUAGCGGUGAAAUGCGUAGAUAUCGAGAGGAACACCUGCGGCGAAGGCGGGUUGCUGGGCCGACACUGACGCUGAUGCGCGAAAGCCAGGGGAGCGAACGGG